rnacentral:tRNA from 1 species
GUUGAUGUAGCUCAGUGGUAGAGCGCAUGCUUUGUGUUUUUGAUGUCCUGGGUUCAAUCCCCAGCUUCUCCC